rnacentral:misc_RNA from 1 species
AACGCAUCUUGCACUCUCCUCGGGGAGUAUGCCUGUUUGAGAAUCUAUUUACCCCCUUUUUGCCGCGGCUUUGCAACAACUCGCGGCAAAAAAGUUGGGCGCGUUUCUCGCGCGAGCGAGUCGCCCGAAUGGCAGACGAGCCCGCUUUUUGGCGCUGAACAAGGAAAAUGUUUGAAUAGGGGCGCCCCCGUUUGGGCGGUGCUUCUUCCUACGCUUUUCUUUUGGCUGGAGAGCGGCUUGGCCCCCAACCAGAGAGCGGCUGCUGUGCCUCCCCUCGGGGACAGCGGCAGCCCCCCUCAGAAUCCAGGUCUCAAAUCAGGCAGGAGGACCCGCUGAACUUAA